rnacentral:rRNA from 1 species
GAAGUAGGGGGCCAGCGUUGUUCGGAAUUACUGGGUGUAAAGGGUUCGUAGGCGGUGCGGCAAGUCGGGAGUGAAAUCUCUGGGCUCAACCCAGAGGCUGCUUCCGAAACUGCUGUGCUUGAGUGUGGGAGAGGCGCGUGGAAUUGCAGGUGUAGCGGUGAAAUGCGUAGAUAUCUGCAGGAACACCCGUGGCGAAAGCGGCGCGCUGGACCACUACUGACGCUGAAGAACGAAAGCUAGGGGAGCAAACAGG